GAUGAACGCUGGCGGCGUGCCUAAUACAUGCAAGUCGAGCGAACGGACGAGAAGCUUGCUUCUCUGAUGUUAGCGGCGGACGGGUGAGUAACACGUGGAUAACCUACCUAUAAGACUGGGAUAACUUCGGGAAACCGGAGCUAAUACCGGAUAAUAUUUUGAACCGCAUGGUUCAAAAGUGAAAGACGGUCUUGCUGUCACUUAUAGAUGGAUCCGCGCUGCAUUAGCUAGUUGGUAAGGUAACGGCUUACCAAGGCAACGAUGUAUAGCCGACCUGAGAGGGUGAUCGGCCACACUGGAACUGAGACACGGUCCAGACUCCUACGGGAGGCAGCAGUAGGUAAUCUUCCGCAAUGGGCGAAAGCCUGACGGAGCAACGCCGCGUGAGUGAUGAAGGUCUUCGGAUCGUAAAACUCUGUUAUUAGGGAAGAACAUAUGUGUAAGUAACUGUGCACAUCUUGACGGUACCUAAUCAGAAAGCCACGGCUAACUACGUG
rnacentral:rRNA from 1 species